rnacentral:rRNA from 1 species
UACGUAGGGUGCAAGCGUUGUCCGGAAUUAUUGGGCGUAAAGAACUCGUAGGCGGUCUGUCACGUCGGCUGUGAAAUCCCGAGGCUCAACCUCGGGUCUGCAGUCGAUACGGGCAAACUAGAGUAUUGCAGGGGAGACUGGAAUUCCUGGUGUAGCGGUGAAAUGCGCAGAUAUCAGGAGGAACACCGGUGGCGAAGGCGGGUCUCUGGGCAAUAACUGACGCUGGAGGAGCGAAAAGCGUGGGGAGCGAACAGG